UUACUUACCUGGCAGGGGAGAUACCAUGAUCAAGAAGGUGGUUUUCCCAGGGUGAGGCUUUUCUAUUUCACUCUGGAUGUGCCGACCCUGCAAUUUCCCCAAAUGUGGGAAACUCGACUGCAUCCUUUGUGGUCCUGGGGGACUGCGUUCAUGCUCUCCCUUG